GGUUAAAUCACGCUGAAACACCGGUUCUCGUUCGAUCACCGAAGUUAAGCAUCGUAGAGCCAGGUCAGUACUUAGAUGGGGACCGCUUGGGAACACCUGGUACUGUAAG